CCAAACGCACCCUAAAUCUUGAAAACAAAAUAAAUCAAUUUGAAAAUUAAAAAAAUUAAAGCCCUUUGGAUUACCCUUGAAAACAUAACUCCCUUUCUUGCAUCGGAGAAAACCUUCAGAAUGGCCUUGAUCUUUAAGAAAAACAAUUUGCUGGAUCCCUCUAAGAUCCUGAGUUCAUCGAAGCCUAUUAUAUUCCUCCGGACUCAGUAGAUCGGAGAAUCAUACUGUUGUCCAUAAAAUGCUCUUCCGUGCGCCGGCCCAUUCGCUGAUCGGAAAGUUUUCUGAAAAGAUAUGUUUCGAAAUCUUGAGUAUCUAUUUUUUAUUUCUUUUAUAAUGUUUGCUAUCUCUGACCUGUCAUUGUGUUCGUCGUUCAGUUUUUUUACUACUGUCAGAGUAUCUCCUUCAACACAUAUAGCUUGAAAACCAAGUUCCUCUGCGAACGUGACCACUUGUAGACAAGCCCAUGCCUCGGCCGUGGUAGAAUCCCGUACAUUUUGCCAUUGGUGCUCACAAGCUCCCAUUACAAACCCUCGUUGUUUCUUAUUAUAACCCCUCCUGUUGCCCGUUUUAAAAGUUUCUGAAAAGAUGCAUCAAAGUUGGCUUUGACUUGAUCUCCCUCCGGGGGUCUGGGUCUCCAUGUGUCAUUUUUAUUCCUUUGUAAAAACUCUGUGAUUCCUUCUGUUUGUGAUAUCUCUAUCGUAUAAUUUCUAACGGAACUUGCUAUUUCCUGUGCUUUAUUUAAAAUGCCUUCAUGUAUAAAUUUGUUUCUGCUAAACCAAAUUGCCCAAAAGGCUACAGCUGUAGUAACAUAGAGUUGUGAACUUUUGUUGCCUAAUUCCGUUACUAACCAUUUGUUCCAAUCAUUUUCCGUAUUUCUGUUUGAAAGUGUAACCUCAAGCUCCUGGAGAACUUGUUUUGUCAGCUUGCAAUAUCUGAAACGGUGGGCCACUGUUUCGUCCUCCUCUUUGCAGAUCGGGCAAUUCGCCUCUGUCCUUAAUCUCCUCAUUUUUAGGUUGCUAAGAGUGGGUAGAAAAUUAUUAGUGAUUCUCCAUAAAUUUAUUCUUACCUUGCUAGGAAUUUUGAGACCCCAUAAGGUUGUAAAAUAAUUUUUUGUAGCUUCAUCGGUAUUGUAUUAUUAUUUACUAGCUGGUGUAGACCACUUGUAAUUUGUCAUUUGUACCCACUUUUUACUGUGUAAUUACCCGAAUUGUCUCCUCUCUAUACUAGUUUGUCUGAUUGCAUGCUGUCAACUAGAGGAAUUGAUGUUAUUUGUUCCGCUUGUUCUUCACUGAACAGCCUUGUGAUAGCUUCAGAAUUCCAGGUGUUUUCUUCCUUAUUAUUUAAAUCAGAGACUGUUGGGAAAUUUAUAUU